rnacentral:rRNA from 1 species
AAAAUCCGCCGUCUGUGUGCCUGAGACAUGAUGGGGAGUCGGGCUUGUUCCGGCGAGUGAGUGAUCCUAUGUUGCCUAGAAAAGCUUCGCGAGCGAGUUGUUAGCCGCCCGUACCCUAAACCGACACAGGUGGAUAGGUAGAGAAUACCAAGGCGAUCGAGAGAAUCAUGGUGAAGGAACUCGGCAAAAUACCCCCGUAACUUCGGGAUAAGGGGGACCUGACACGUUGAGCCACUUGCUGGUGAAAGCGUUGAGGGUCGCAGAGACCAGGCCCAAGCGACUGUUUACUAAAAACACAGGUCCGUGCCAACUUGAAAGAGGACGUAUACGGACUGACUCCUGCCCGGUGCUGGAAGGUUAAGGGGAACUGUUAGACGCAAGUCGAAGCGGUGAACUUAAGCCCCAGUAAACGGCGGUGGUAACUAUAACCAUCCUAAGGUAGCGAAAUUCCUUGUCGGGUAAGUUCCGACCUGCACGAAUGGAGUAACGACUUGGGCGCUGUCUCCACCAUGAACUCGGCGAAAUUGCAUUACGAGUAAAGAUGCUCGUUACGCGCAGUAGGACGGAAAGACCCCGGGACCUUUACUAUAGUUUGGUAUUGGUGUUCGGUACAGCUUGUGUAGGAUAGGUGGGAGACUUUGAAGCGGCCACGCCAGUGGUUGUGGAGUCAUCGUUGAAAUACCACUCUGGCUGUUCUGGAUAUCUAACCUAGGACCGUUAUCCGGUUCAGGGACAGUGCCUGAUGGGUAGUUUGACUGGGGCGGUCGCCUCCCAAAAGGUAACGGAGGCGCCCAAAGGUUCCCUCAGCCUGGUUGGCAAUCAGGUUUCGAGUGUAAGUGCACAAGGGAGCUUGACUGUGAGAGGGGCACCUCGAGCAGGGACGAAAGUCGGGACUAGUGAUCUGACGGUGGCAUGUGGACGCGCCGUCACUCAACGGAUAAAAGGUACCCCGGGGAUAACAGGCUGAUCUUGCCCGAGCGCUCACAGCGACGGCAUGGUUUGGCACCUCGAUGUCGGCUCGUCGCAUCCUGGGGCUGGAGUCGGUCCCAAGGGUUGGGCUGUUCGCCCAUUAAAGCGGCACGCGAGCUGGGUUUAGAACGUCGUGAGACAGUUCGGUCCCUAUCCACUGCGCGCGUAGGAAUCUUGAGAAGAGCUGUCCUUAGUACGAGAGGACCGGGACGGACUAACCUCUGGUGUGCCAGUUGUUCUGCCAAGGGCACGGCUGGUUGGCUACGUUGGGAAGUGAUAACCGCUGAAAGCAUCUAAGCGGGAAGCACGCUUCAAGAUGAGGGUUCCCACAGAUUAAUCUGGUAAGGCCCCCUGUAGACCACGGGGUGAUAGGUCGGAUGUGGAAGCACAGUAAUGUGUGGAGCUGACCGAUACUAAUAGGCCGAGGGCUUGUC